GACGAACGCUGGCGGCGUGCUUAACACAUGCAAGUCGUACGGUAAGGCCCUUUCGGGGGUACACGAGUGGCGAACGGGUGAGUAACACGUGAGUAACCUGCCCACAACUUUGGGAUAACGCUAGGAAACUGGUGCUAAUACUGGAUAUGUGCUCCUGCUGCAUGGUGGGGGUUGGAAAGCUCCGGCGGUUGUGGAUGGACUCGCGGCCUAUCAGCUUGUUGGUGGGGUAGUGGCCUACCAAGGCGGCGACGGGUAGCCGGCCUGAGAGGGUGACCGGCCACAUUGGGACUGAGAUACGGCCCAGACUCCUACGGGAGGCAGCAGUGGGGAAUAUUGCACAAUGGGCGCAAGCCUGAUGCAGCAACGCCGCGUGCGGGAUGACGGCCUUCGGGUUGUAAACCGCUUUCAGCAGGGACGAAGCUUUUUGUGACGGUACCUGCAGAAGAAGCACCGGUUAACUACGUG
rnacentral:rRNA from 1 species